UACGUAGGGGGCGAGCGUUGUCCGGAAUCAUUGGGCGUAAAGAGCUCGUAGGCGGUUCAGUAAGUCAGGUGUGAAAGCUCCGAGCUCAACUCGGAGAGGCCACCUGAUACUGCUGUGACUAGAAUCCAGUAGGGGAGUGUGGAACUCCUGGUGUAGCGGUGGAAUGCGCAGAUAUCAGGAGGAACACCGAUGGCGAAGGCAGAUCUCUGGGCCAUUACUGACGCUGAGGAGCGAAAGCGUGGGGAGCGAACAGG
rnacentral:rRNA from 1 species